AGAUAAAAUAAAUCCUUGCUGGAGGACCAGAGUUUGUCCUGCAGACCCAGGGAGGAGAGUUGCACUGGGGAGAAGGAGAGAUGGGGAGCAGGUCCCAUGAGCUAUACUGAUAAUGACAAUGGUGAUAGCAACUUUGGAAGCCAGUUAAUAUUGGAAUAUGGCAAAGCCACUAUCAGCCUGUUUCCUGAGGGAACGCAUAGAGCCGAACUUUCUCCCUGCGCCUACUCCAACAAUCUGGAAUGUCUGCCUUGGAAUAUUAUGUGAGAAAGAAAUAAACAUCUCUUGUGUUUGAACCAUUA
rnacentral:lncRNA from 1 species